UACGUAGGUGGCGAGCGUUGUCCGGAUUUAUUGGGUUUAAAGGGUGCGUAGGCGGCUUUUUAAGUCAGUGCUGAAAUAUCACAGCUUAACUGUGAGGGUGGCAUUGAUACUGAGAGGCUUGAGUACAGAUGAGGUAGGCGGAAUUGACGGUGUAGCGGUGAAAUGCAUAGAUAUCGUCAAGAACACCGAUAGCGAAGGCAGCUUACUAAGCUGUAACUGACGCUGAGGCACGAAAGUGUGGGGAUCAAACAGG
rnacentral:rRNA from 1 species